rnacentral:tRNA from 1 species
GGGGUGUAGCUCAACCGGGAGAGCACCGGUCUGAAAGAACCGAAGGUUGCGGGUUCGAUUCCCGCUGCCCCCG